GGCUACGUUGGCCUAAGUGGUUAAAGCGUCCGCCUAGGGUAUGGGAGGUCGUGAAUUCGAAACCCGCAUGAGUCA